rnacentral:rRNA from 1 species
UACGUAGGGGGCAAGCGUUGUCCGGAAUCAUUGGGCGUAAAGAGCGUGUAGGCGGCUCGGUAAGUCCGCUCUGAAAGCCCGGGGCUCAACCCCGGGAGGCGGGCGGAUACUGUCGGGCUAGAGUCCGGAAGAGGCGAGUGGAAUUCCUGGUGUAGCGGUGAAAUGCGCAGAUAUCGGGAAGAACACCCGUGGCGAAGGCGGCUCUCUGGGACGGUACUGACGCUGAGACGCGAAAGCGUGGGGAGCAAACAGG